ACAUUACUGAGGAGUCCCACAAUAGGACGAAAUGGCCGUCCGGUGU
rfam:Schistosoma margrebowiei strain Zambia genome assembly, scaffold: SMRZ_scaffold0000458